UUAACUCAAAAUUGUAUGGUGUUGGAACGUUUGCCUACGUUGGCCGCUAGGGGCGCUGUGCCAACUCCAUACAAAUUUGCGUUA
rfam:Bombyx mori DNA, contig: Bm_scaf12_contig9730, strain: p50T/Dazao, build 2, whole genome shotgun sequence.